AAAAACAUAGCUCUCUGAUGAGAAAAUAGAGAGUUUAUUCUGCCCAGUGAACAUUUAAACGGCCGCGGUACCCUGACCGUGCAAAGGUAGCAUAAUAACUCGCCUCCUAAUUAGAGGCUGGAAUCAACGAACGCACGUGGGCUUAGCUGUCUCCGCAAAAAUCCCAGGAACUUAACCUCCAGGUGAAAAGGCCUGGAUUUAACUAAAAGACAAGAAGACCCUAUCGAGCUUAAUUAUCACUUGAUAGCUCUAAACCACUAGAUGGACUUUUUUCUAUUAAGGACUAAUUUAGUUGGGGCAACUAAGGAACCACCUAAGCUUCCUCUAAAUCUUUAUCCAUCACCCAGACCCAGUCCACCUGAUCAAAGGAACAAGCUACCGUAGGGAUAACAGGUUAAUUUUUCUCGAGAGCCCACAUUGACAGAAAAGUUUGACACCUCGAUGUUGGCUUAGGUUAUCCCGCUAGUGCAGAAGCUAGCAAGGGUGGGUUUGUUCAACCUUUAAAAACCUACGUGAUCUG
rnacentral:rRNA from 1 species